rnacentral:piRNA from 1 species
UUGGUGGUUAUAAGGGCGGUGAUACAUGU